rnacentral:tRNA from 2 species
AGGGGAGUCGCCAAGUGGUAAGGCACCGGAUUUUGAUUCCGGUAUACGUAGGUUCGAUCCCUUCCUCCCCUGCCA